CAGAGAUCCAAAUGCAUGUGCGCGAAUAGUUCAACACAUUUUCUAGCACUAUGAAACUAAUAUUUGCUGUGCUUUUUGGAUCCUUUCUGAUUCAUCAGAGCUUAGCUGCUUUUGGCUCCUGGCUUUUUGCGGAGGACAAAACAAAAGGCCAUGUUAUGGUCCUUCCUAUGAAAAAUCCGAGGUUCUUUGCUUUGGCUCAAUACUUGCCAAAGUUCAUCAACCCAGAGAAUAAUCUAAGGGAUCAUGUAACAAAAUACGAAAUACCAUUCGGACCAGACAAAAGCAUGCUUGUUAAAUGCAUGCAAGGUGAUAAUGAAGUCAAAGCGUAUGUAUACAGCGCAGAAGGAUACGUCAUAGAUGUAUUGACGCUACAAAGCAGUAAACUUUCUUGCCAACAAGUGAAGGAAAACAUUAAUUCGGAAAAUUUUUAAUAUUAUACGCAGGCAAGCAAUUACAAGGUGUUAUCAUUCAGCAUUAUGUACAAUUUCCAUUGGGCGGGAACAGUAAUUCAGUGUUUCAAGAGACGAUACACGAUGGCCACUUUUCUACACUCACCGUCCAAACCAUCUAUUCAUUCUAUACCUUAUUCGAAAUUGGAGAGGGAAGAUGUAGAAAUGGCAGAUUGCAAGGGAACUUUUAUUGAUACUGAUGCUUCUAGAGCAUACUUAUUGUUAAGAGGAACUUACGAAAUCAUGGAUUUUAUGAAAAAUGGUGACACUCUCGGUAAAUCUGUUAUUGAAACUUCUUUUAAGACUGAAGCAAACCUGAAGCUCAGGUGCCAAACAGACACGGACGUCCCAGCCAAAGAUUCCGCCAUGGCAGAAGGAUUUAUUAUGUAUGAAGACAUAAUCUUGGACAAGUUAUAUCUAGAUUCUUGUACGGCUGGAGUUGAAGGAAUAUACAUCAACGUAAUGAAUGAAAAAGAUACAAAAGCCAUACGACGGAUUUUUACUUGUGUUUAAAACAAAAGAUGGCAAAUGUUUUAAUAGGUACAUUAAUUUGGGCUUUUAUUUUGUUGAUAAUCGGCGAGAGGAAGAGAAAGUUCGAAUUAGUCGACACGAGCCUGAUAUAGUCAAGUGUCCAACGGAUUGGACUAACGACGCCGCCUUAAAAGUGGGAGCACCUUGGUACAAGAGAAACCCCAAGUUCCGUUACCAAAAAUGACUCAUCAGAAGAAGAUGAAUCAACCAAAUAAAAAAAUUUUACUCAA